AUCCGACAGGGUGAGGCAACGGAUUGAAAACCCGUCCAGUCCAGUGUCAGUUCGGGUCUGACCGUGGGCACCA
rnacentral:tRNA from 1 species